rnacentral:lncRNA from 1 species
UCCACCACCACCAUACUACUACCACUCUCCUCCUCCUCCAGUCAAAUCACCACCGCCACCGUACUACUACCACUCCCCGCCUCCUCCGGUGAAAUCCCCACCACCACCAUAUUACUACCACUCACCACCUCCACCGGUGAAAUCUCCACCACCACCAUACUAUUACCACUCACCACCUCCUCCGGUGAAGUCUCCUCCACCACCAUACUACUAUCACUCUCCACCACCACCGGUGAAAUCUCCUCCUCCUUACUAUUAUCAUUCUCCACCUCCUCCGGUGAAAUCUCCUCCACCACCGUACUACUACCAUUCUCCACCUCCUCCAGUCAAGUCUCCACCACCACCGUACUACUAUCAUUCACCACCUCCUCCGGUGAAAUCUCCACCACCACCAUACUAUUACCACUCACCACCCCCACCUGUGAAAUCUCCUCCUCCACCAUACUACUAUCACUCACCUCCUCCUCCGGUGAAAUCUCCACCACCACCAUACUAUUACCAUUCACCACCCCCUCCAGUCAAAUCUCCUCCUCCACCAUACUACUACCACUCACCACCUCCUCCAGUGAAAUCUCCACCACCACCAUACUAUUACAACUCUCCACCACCACCGGUGAAAUCUCCUCCACCUCCAGUCUACAUCUACGCUUCUCCCCCAC